rnacentral:lncRNA from 1 species
AACUUCACAAGUCAAUAAAAAAGGCUCAACAUAAUUUUCACACCAUUAAACAAUUAAAAACCAAAUUAAAAUGAAUUAAAUUAAAUUCUUUUUUAUCAAAAACCUAAAACCUCUUCAAAACACCAAAUAAAUGGCCAAGAGAUUUAUCAUAGGUCAAACAAGGUCAAAGGACCUUGGAGAAAAAAUUUCAUUAUUUUUGAAAAGUCAAA